CAGGGAUUGCCCUAGUAACGGCGAGUGAAGCGGCANCAGCUCAAAUUUGAAAUCUGGCUCUUUUAGAGUCCGAGUUGUAAUUUGCAGAGGGCGCUUUGGCUUUGGCAGCGGUCCAAGUUCCUUGGAACAGGACGUCACAGAGGGUGAGAAUCCCGUACGUGGUCGCUAGCUAUUGCCGUGUAAAGCCCCUUCGACGAGUCGAGUUGUUUGGGAAUGCAGCUCUAAAUGGGAGGUAAAUUUCUUCUAAAGCUAAAUAUUGGCCAGAGACCGAUAGCGCACAAGUAGAGUGAUCGAAAGAUGAAAAGCACUUUGGAAAGAGAGUCAAACAGCACGUGAAAUUGUUGAAAGGGAAGCGCUUGCAGCCAGACUUGCUUGCAGUUGCUCAUCCGGGCUUUUGCCCGGUGCACUCUUCUGCAGGCAGGCCAGCAUCAGUUUGGGCGGUGGGAUAAAGGUCUCUGACACGUUCCUUCCUUCGGGUUGGCCAUAUAGGGGAGACGUCAUACCACCAGCCUGGACUGAGGUCCGCGCAUCUGCUAGGAUGCUGGCGUAAUGGCUGUAAGCGGCCCGUCUUGAAACACGGACCAAGGAGUCUAACAUCUAUGCGAGUGUUUGGGUGUCAAGCCCGAGCGCGUAAUGAAAGUGAACGGAGGUGGGAACCCGCAAGGGUGCACCAUCGACCGAUCCUGAAGUUUACGGAAGGAUUUGAGUAAGAGCAUGGCUGUUGGGACCCGAAAGAUGGUGAACUAUGCUUGAAUAGGGUGAAGCCAGAGGAAACUCUGGUGGAGGCUCGCAGCGGUUCUGACGUGCAAAUCGAUCGUCAAAUUUGGGCAUAGGGGCGAAAGACUAAUCGAACUAUCUAGUA
rnacentral:rRNA from 1 species